GGUGAAGUAGCUCAAGUGGUAGAGCACUUGCCUUCGCAAGCAUGAGGCCCUGGGUUCAAACUCUAGUAUGAUCA
rnacentral:tRNA from 1 species